rnacentral:rRNA from 1 species
GAUGAACGCUGGCGGCGCGCCUAACACAUGCAAGUCGAACGAUUAAAGCACCUUCGGGUGUGUAUAAAGUGGCGAACGGCUGAGUAACACGUGGGCAACCUGCCCCUUUCAUUGGGAUAGCCACGGGAAACCGUGGAUAAUACCGAAUACUUCGAGACUUCCGCAUGGAAGACUCGAGAAAGCUCCGGCGGCGAGGGAUGGGCCCGCGGCCUGUUAGCUUGUUGGUGGGGUAACGGCCUACCAAGGCAAUGAUGGGUAGCUGGGUUGAGAGACCGACCAGCCAGAUUGGGACUGAGACACGGCCCAGACUCCUACGGGAGGCAGCAGUGGGGAAUCUUGCACAAUGGGCGAAAGCCUGAUGCAGCGACGCCGCGUGCGGGAUGAAGGCCUUCGGGUUGUAACCCGCUUUCAGCAGGGACGAGGCGAAAGUGACGGUACCUGCAGAAGAAGCCCCGGCUAACUACGUG